ensembl:lncRNA
GUGGUGUGGUGUAGCAAGUUAAACUGUGGCCUACAGCACCAGCAUCCCAUACAGGUGCUAGUUCAAGUCUUGGCUGCACCACUUCUAAUCCUGUUCCCUGCUAAUGUGCAUGGGGAAGCAGUGGAGAAAGGUACAAGUGCUUGAGCCCCUGUACCCGUGUCAGUGAUUGGAAGAAACUCCUGGCUCCUGGCUUCAGCCUGGCCUGGCCUGGGCCAUUGUAGCCAUUUGGGGAGUGAACCAGCAGAUGGAAGACCUCUGUCUCUCUCUGUGUCUCUCCCUCUUUCUGUAACUCUGCCUUUCAAAUAAAUAAAAUAAAUAUUAAAAAUAAUUGAACAACAAAUACUCCAUAAUAAAAUGUCAAGCUUCUAUUUUGUAAUGUUGAUUGCUGAGAACUAAAAAGUCGCAUCUGUCUUCUCCGCUUCCUCAACGUCUGGGCUGCUCAGGGAGCCUCUUGCUAUCUCCUUUGUGCCUAAAGAAUGUUCAGACCACAGGUCCCUGUACCCAGAAACCCUGCCCUCAGCCCCACCCUGCAUUCCCAGUGGAAACUCUGAACCUGUCUUCUUUCUCUUUUCCCUCCAGCUGCUUUUGGGCCAGCUUGCAAAGCUAGAUCUGUGCAUUUCAAGUGAGUGUGUGCCCCAGGAGGGCAGGAGUGUCUUCUGCCUUGUACACCAGCUGGUGAAAAUAGAGUCCCUGGCUUGAGUCAGAAACUCAGUGAACACUCACUCCAUUAGUAGACAGCCCACACAUGAACGAAUUCCUACUGCACAGGUUUCCCAGACACGACAAGCUACAUGAAAUGUUCACUUAUUUUCCAGUUGCCUUCAUAUCCAAAGUUGUAAAAGUUUCAUCUUCCUGAACAGUUAACUGCUUUGUCAUUGUUUUUAGAAGGAUUAUGAAGGGGAGUCAUGAAAUACUCAUGGCACUCCUAAAAUUCAUCCUAGAGAUGAAAAAAAUCACUGCUUCAGUGUUCAUGGCCCUAAAACCAGCCUCGUGAACAGAAAGAGAGGGAAAAUCUAUCUUUUGAGUAAUGCUAUAUAACCGGCAAUUUUAAGAUCUCUUGGCCUGCACGGCAUGAAUGGCGAAUGGCAACGGGGCUGCCGAGUCCCAGAAAGGUGCUGGCCUUUGAGGGGUCAGGAAAGGCAAAAGUGAUCCGUGCGCACAUGAUGCAGGGAGUGAAGAAAUGCAGGGCAAGUGAGCAGUGAGCAAAAAUGCACCCCAGGGAAAGAGAACAGAAGAAAGGAUGAGGACACAGAUGGGUAAGAUACUCACCCACAGGCACAAACAGCGCCUCACAGACACAGCCGUGCCUCCAUCUCUAUGCUGGAUUGGUCCUAGGACUCCCUGCAGAAGUCAAAAUCCAUGGAUGCUCAAGGUCAGUGUAUAAAAUGGUGUUGUAUAUGCAUACCCCGGUAUGGCCUCCCGUAUCCUUUAAGUCAUAUCUGCAUCAUUUAUAAUACCGCAGAAAAGAUAAUCAUGUUAUACUGUGCCUAGGUUACUUAUUAUACCUAGUACAGUAUAAAUGGUUCUUACAUGAUAUUGUUUAGGAACUGGUAAGAAAAAUGGUCUGUACUGUUCAGUACAGAUGCAGUUUUUAUUUUUAGAUAAUUUUUCAUCUAUGGUUGGUUGAAUCUAUGGAUGCAGAAGCCCAGAUAUGGAGGGCUAACUCUGCAAGCCAGCUCUCAUGGAGCUGAGUGACUUA